rnacentral:rRNA from 1 species
GGAGUUAGGAAAUGUAAAGGUGUUAAUAGCGCCUUUAUUUGACGAAGGCUCCAGAGGAAGCCACGGCUAACUCUGUGCCAGCAGCCGCGGUAAUACAGAGGUGGCAAGCGUUGUUCGGAAUUAUUGGGCGUAAAGAGCACGUAGGCGGUCCUGCAAGUCUGUUGUGAAACCCUUCCGCUUAACGGGAGAACGGCAGCUGAUACUACAGAACUAGAGUACGGGAGGGGAGAGUG